UACGGGGGGGGCAAGCGUUGUUCGGAAUUACUGGGCGUAAAGGGCCAGUAGGCGGCCAACUAAGUCCGACGUGAAAUCCCCAAGCUUAACUUGGGAACUGCGUCGGAUACUGGAUGGCUUGAAUUCGGGAGAGGGAUGCAGAAUUCCAGGUGUAGCGGUGAAAUGCGUAGAUAUCUGGAGGAAUACCGGUGGCGAAGGCGGCAUCCUGGACCGACAUUGACGCUGAGGCGCGAAAGCCAGGGGAGCAAACGGG
rnacentral:rRNA from 1 species